rnacentral:rRNA from 1 species
GGUUAAGCGACUAAGCGUACACGGUGGAUGCCCUGGCAGUCAGAGGCGAUGAAGGGCGUGCUAAUCUGCGAUAAGCGCCGGUAAGGUGAUAUGAACCGUUAUAACCGGCGAUACCCGAAUGGGGAAACCCAGUGUGACUCGUCACACUAUCAUUAACUGAAUCCAUAGGUUAAUGAGGCGAACCGGGGGAACUGAAACAUCUAAGUACCCCGAGGAAAAGAAAUCAACCGAGAUUCCCCCAGUAGCGGCGAGCGAACGGGGAGGAGCCCAGAGCCUGAAUCAGCAUGUGUGUUAGUGGAAGCGUCUGGAAAGGCGCGCGAUACAGGGUGACAGCCCCGUACACAAAAGCGCAUGUGCUGUGAGCUCGAUGAGUAGGGCGGGACACGUGGUAUCCUGUCUGAAUAUGGGGGGACCAUCCUCCAAGGCUAAAUACUCCUGACUGACCGAUAGUGAACCAGUACCGUGAGGGAAAGGCGAAAAGAACCCCGGCGAGGGGAGUGAAAAAGAACCUGAAACCGUGUACGUACAAGCAGUGGGAGCACCCUUCGGGGUGUGACUGCGUACCUUUUGUAUAAUGGGUCAGCGACUUAUAUUCUGUAGCAAGGUUAACCGAAUAGGGGAGCCGGAGGGAAACCGAGUCUUAAUUGGGCGUUAAGUUGCAGGGUAUAGACCCGAAACCCGGUGAUCUAGCCAUGGGCAGGUUGAAGGUUGGGUAACACUAACUGGAGGACCGAACCGACUAAUGUUGAAAAAUUAGCGGAUGACCUGUGGCUGGGGGUGAAAGGCCAAUCAAACCGGGAGAUAGCUGGUUCUCCCCGAAAGCUAUUUAGGUAGCGCCUCGUGAAUUCAUCUCCGGGGGUAGAGCACUGUUUCGGCUAGGGGGCCAUCCCGGCUUACCAACCCGAUGCAAACUGCGAAUACCGGAGAAUGUUAUCACGGGAGACACACGGCGGGUGCUAACGUCCGUCGUGAAGAGGGAAACAACCCAGACCGCCAGCUAAGGUCCCAAAGUCAUGGUUAAGUGGGAAACGAUGUGGGAAGGCCCAGACAGCCAGGAUGUUGGCUUAGAAGCAGCCAUCAUUUAAAGAAAGCGUAAUAGCUCACUGGUCGAGUCGGCCUGCGCGGAAGAUGUAACGGGGCUAAACCAU